rnacentral:rRNA from 1 species
AGAGUUUGAUCCUGGCUCAGGACGAACGCUGGCGGCGUGCCUAACACAUGCAAGUCGAGCGAGGAAGAGGAGAUAGCUUGCUAACUCCUGUUUCUAGCGGCGGACGGGUGAGUAACGCGUGAGCAACCUGCCUUUAUCAGGGGGAUAACGCAUCGAAAGAUGUGCUAAUACCGCGUAAGACCACAGCCUCACAUGGGGCAGGGGUCAAAGGAGCAAUCCGGAUAAAGAUGGGCUCGCGUCCGAUUAGCUAGUUGGUGAGAUAACAGCCCACCAAGGCGACGAUCGGUAGCCGACCUGAGAGGGUGAUCGGCCACAUUGGAACUGAGAGACGGUCCAGACUCCUACGGGAGGCAGCAGUGGGGAAUAUUGGGCAAUGGGCGAAAGCCUGACCCAGCAACGCCGCGUGAGGGAAGAAGGGUUUCGGCUCGUAAACCUCUGUCCUAUGGGACGAAGGAAGUGACGGUACCAUAGGAGGAAGCCCCGGCUAACUACGUGCCAGCAGCCGCGGUAAUACGUAGGGGGCGAGCGUUGUCCGGAAUGAUUGGGCGUAAAGGGCGCGUAGGCGGCCUGCUAAGUCUGGAGUGAAAGUCCUGCUUUCAAGGUGGGAAGUGCUUUGGAUACUGGUGGGCUGGAGUGCAGGAGAGGAAAGCGGAAUUACCGGUGUAGCGGUGAAAUGCGUAGAGAUCGGUAGGAACACCAGUGGCGAAGGCGGCUUUCUGGACUGAAACUGACGCUGAGGCGCGAAAGCGUGGGGAGCAAACAGGAUUAGAUACCCUGGUAGUCCACGCG